GGGCAGAUAGCUCAAUGGGUAAGAGCACUUGCUUUGCAAGCAUCCCGGGACCCAUGUAAAACAAAACAAAACAAAACAAAACAGGUGUGUCUGCUCA
rnacentral:tRNA from 1 species